rnacentral:rRNA from 1 species
GCGGCAGGCCUAACACAUGCAAGUCGAGCGGUAACAUUUCUAGCUUGCUAGAAGAUGACGAGCGGCGGACGGGUGAGUAAUGCUUGGGAACAUGCCUUUAGGUGGGGGACAACCAUUGGAAACGAUGGCUAAUACCGCAUAAUGUCUACGGACCGAAGGGGGCUUCGGCUCUCGCCUUUAGAUUGGCCCAAGUGGGAUUAGCUAGUUGGUGAGGUAAUGGCUCACCAAGGCGACGAUCCCUAGCUGGUUUGAGAGGAUGAUCAGCCACACUGGAACUGAGACACGGUCCAGACUCCUACGGGAGGCAGCAGUGGGGAAUAUUGCACAAUGGGCGCAAGCCUGAUGCAGCCAUGCCGCGUGUGUGAAGAAGGCCUUCGGGUUGUAAAGCACUUUCGGUUGUGAGGAAAGGUUAGUAGUUAAUACCUGCUAGCUGUGACGUUAGCAACAGAAGAAGCACCGGCUAACUCCGUGCCAGCAGCCGCGGUAAUACGGAGGGUGCGAGCGUUAAUCGGAAUUACUGGGCGUAAAGCGUACGCAGGCGGUUUGUUAAGCGAGAUGUGAAAGCCCCGGGCUCAACCUGGGAACUGCAUUUCGAACUGGCAAACUAGAGUGUGAUAGAGGGUGGUAGAAUUUCAGGUGUAGCGGUGAAAUGCGUAGAGAUCUGAAGGAAUACCGAUGGCGAAGGCAGCCACCUGGGUCAACACUGACGCUCAUGUACGAAAGCGUGGGGAGCAAACGGGAUUAGAUACCCCGGUAGUCCACGCCGUAAACGAUGUCUACUAGGAGUUCGGUUUUUCGGAACUGUCUUCCAAAGCUAACGCAUUAAGUAGACCGCCUGGGGAGUACGGCCGC